AUUGAACUGAAGAGUUUGAUCCUGGCUCAGAUUGAACGCUGGCGGCAUGCCUUACACAUGCAAGUCGAACGGCAGCACGGGCUUCGGCCUGGUGGCGAGUGGCGAACGGGUGAGUAAUACAUCGGAACAUGUCCUGUAGUGGGGGAUAGCCCGGCGAAAGCCGGAUUAAUACCGCAUACGAUCUGAGGAUGAAAGC
rnacentral:rRNA from 1 species